UACGGAGGGUGCGAGCGUUGUCCGGAAUCACUGGGCGUAAAGGGCGCGUAGGCGGUCUGCUAAGCGUGCGGUGAAAGCCUGGGGCUCAACCCCAGGUCUGCCGUGCGAACUGGUGGACUAGAGCACUGUAGAGGCAGGUGGAAUUCCGGGUGUAGCGGUGGAAUGCGUAGAGAUCCGGAAGAACACCGGUGGCGAAGGCGGCCUGCUGGGCAGUUGCUGACGCUGAGGCGCGACAGCGUGGGGAGGCAAACAGGAUUAGAAACCG
rnacentral:rRNA from 1 species